rnacentral:lncRNA from 1 species
CCCAGAUACUCUAGGGUCUAUAGUAGCAGAGAUCCCUAAACCAAUGUUAUUUGUUGUGGUUCAUUGGCAAGCAUUAUCUUUAAUGAGCUGGGUGAAGGUUUCCAAUGUUCUGUAUGUGUUUUCACUAUGAAUGAGACAGGGUUUCACCAUCACUUUUUCAUCCAAAAGAGAUUCAUUCAUGCCAUAAACAUACUAGGCACAGGUGAUAGAAUGGUGGAUACAUAGGCACAAUCUCUCUUCCAGUGAAGUUUAUGAAAUAAUAAAGUGGCAGUUCCCAAAGCUGGGUUCUGGAUCAAUAACUAAGUUGUUAGAAAAGAAAUUUCUCAGGCCCCACUCCAGCCAGACUUCCUGAAUCAGUAACUCUGAGGAUGGUGCCCAGCAGUCUUUCUUUUUUCUUUCUUUCUUUUUUUUUUUUUUUU